rnacentral:rRNA from 1 species
UGAGCGGCAGAGCUCAAAUUUGAAAGCUGGCUCCUCCGGGGCUCCGCAUUGUAAUUUGGAGAGGAUGCUUCGGGUGCGGCCCCCGUCUAAGUGCUCUGGAACGGGCCGUCGGAGAGGGUGAGAAUCCCGUCUGGGGCGGGGAGCCCCGUGCCCGUGUGAAGCUCCUUCAACGAGUCG